rnacentral:rRNA from 1 species
AUUGAACGCUGGCGGCAUGCCUUACACAUGCAAGUCGAACGGCAGCACGGGUGCUUGCACCUGGUGGCGAGUGGCGAACGGGUGAGUAAUACAUCGGAACAUGUCCUGUAGUGGGGGAUAGCCCGGCGAAAGCCGGAUUAAUACCGCAUACGAUCUACGGAUGAAAGCGGGGGAGCUUCGGGCUUCGCGCUAUAGGGUUGGCCGAUGGCUGAUUAGAUAGUUGGUGGGGUAAAGGCCUACCAAGGCGACGAUCAGUAGCUGGUCUGAGAGGACGACCAGCCACACUGGGACUGAGACACGGCCCAGACUCCUACGGGAGGCAGCAGUGGGGAAUUUUGGACAAUGGGCGAAAGCCUGAUCCAGCAAUGCCGCGUGUGUGAAGAAGGCCUUCGGGUUGUAAAGCACUUUUGUCCGGAAAGAAAUCCUUGGCCCUAAUACGGUCGGGGGAUGACGGUACCGGAAGAAUAAGCACCGGCUAACUACGUG